rnacentral:rRNA from 1 species
UAGGGAAUCUUCCGCAAUGGACGCAAGUCUGACGGAGCAACGCCGCGUGAGUGAAGAAGGAUUUCGGUUCGUAAAACUCUGUUGUUAGAGAAGAACAGCGCAUAGAGUAACUGUUAUGCGUGUGACGGUAUCUAACCAGAAAGCCACGGCUAACUACGUGCCAGCAGCCGCGGUAAUACGUAGGUGGCAAGCGUUGUCCGGAUUUAUUGGGCGUAAAGCGAACGCAGGCGGUCAAUUAAGUCUGAUGUGAAAGCCCCCGGCUCAACCGGGGAGGGUCAUUGGAAACUGGUUGACGUGAGUGCAGAAGAGGAGAGUGGAAUUCCAUGUGUAACGGUGAAAUGCGUAGAUAUAUGGAGGAACACCAGUGGCGAAGGCGACUCUCUGGUCUGUAACUGACGCUGAGGUUCGAAAGCGUGGGUAGCAAACAGG